UGUCUCCUCCACCCUCCUCCUAAGGUGGAUUAAGCCCGAACCAGCCGUUCGGGCUUUUUUUC
rfam:Burkholderia latens strain AT17928 chromosome 1, complete sequence.